CCCAUCUUCUUGCCCAGCUCAAACUGGGUCGACCUGAUCCAAUACCCAAGAUCUGAAUCUUUAUUCUUCUUAAAUCAACCCUAAAUCCAAAAGACCCUAAGAGAACAAGAGGUACACACCCCUGAAGAAGUUGCAGCUUUCAACAGAAAGGAGCCCAUUCAAUCUUCUUCUUUAUAUUUCAAUAGCCACUUCCAACGGCUUAAUGCCUGGAAAAACAGAACCCCUCCUCCCAUGUAUUUCAUCUUCCUCACGCCCCACCCUCUCACCAAAACACUGUAACACAAAUGACGACCCCUGUACAUGAAUGCCCUCUUCUUGAACCAAAAAAAAAAUUGAAAGACCCUAGAGAUUUAAGCUAAAAACGGGCAGACCCAAGAACAAAAGGAUAAGAGCACCACUUCCUUGUUUUGAUUCUCUUCAAUAGAGGAAGGCCAGUCAUGGCUAAUGCCUCAACUCUGUCUCGAUUCUUCUUGUCAUCUCUCUCAUUGGCACACAAAGAAAGAUUGGCUCCCUCUCACCAUCAUCUCCCUCAAACACACACACACACACACUCAGCCAUAGAGUAAAUAGAAACAAAUAUAAGGAAAAGAGCUAGCCUAAUACAGGAGUGAACAGGCAGAAACAUAGUGAAAAUUCCGAUGACAACAGUCAUCCGUUUCAGUUAUCACUGAAAGACGGGGUCCAUCCGAGGUUUGUCAAUUUCCGGCGAGCUUCGAGGUCAUCGAAGGUUGUGGUCCGAGGUCUAUGGUUAGCGCCAUUUUCUGUUAAGUGAAGCCCGUUCCGAUUCACGUCCGACCUUUAUUUUGCAUUUUUUAACUAUUUCUUUGCUUUCAAUAGGUAAACCUUGUCGUCUUUGCCUUUUUUAUAUUCCAGCUUGCUUAUGCCCUCUUUUGUUGAACGGUAUUUGACAUGGAUAUAUUUCAACCAUGUAUUUUCUUUGUUGAAAUGUUUAUUUUAUGGUUAGUUUCGUUUGUUCAUCUUGCACUUGAUAUAAAUCUGUCAAAGAUA
rnacentral:lncRNA from 1 species